rnacentral:rRNA from 1 species
GAUGAACGCUGGCGGCGUGCCUAAUACAUGCAAGUCGAGCGAACAGACGAGGAGCUUGCUCCUCUGACGUUAGCGGCGGACGGGUGAGUAACACGUGGAUAACCUACCUAUAAGACUGGGAUAACUUCGGGAAACCGGAGCUAAUACCGGAUAAUAUAUUGAACCGCAUGGUUCAAUAGUGAAAGACGGUUUUGCUGUCACUUAUAGAUGGAUCCGCGCCGCAUUAGCUAGUUGGUAAGGUAACGGCUUACCAAGGCAACGAUGCGUAGCCGACCUGAGAGGGUGAUCGGCCACACUGGAACUGAGACACGGUCCAGACUCCUACGGGAGGCAGCAGUAGGGAAUCUUCCGCAAUGGGCGAAAGCCUGACAGAGCAACGCCGCGUGAGUGAUGAAGGUCUUCGGAUCGUAAAACUCUGUUAUUAGGGAAGAACAAAUGUGUAAGUAACUAUGCACGUCUUGACGGUACCUAAUCAGAAAGCCACGGCUAACUACGUG